UUUUGAAUUGAAUAUCUACUAGACAAAAAAGUCCUGAGACCAGCUACCUGAAAGCAGUGGAUGUGUGGUUGUUCCUGUGCAUCGUUCUCGUUGUUUUGACGCUGUUCCAGUAUGCAAUUAUUAUUACAAUCAAAAGGAAGCAAAAAGAGCGAACAGCGGGACAAAUUUUCCCAAUGCUCAUUCUCCCCCUCUGGCAGAAGACGGUAAACCGCUUCAGGAACGCGGACGAAGACAGAGGAGGCGACACGCCCUCCGAUACGCCGAAGACUCCGUCAGCGAUCUCGAGGGAGGGCCCGGCGGCGGCCUACGAAAAGGGCGACGGUCGCCACGCCCUUCGACUGAUCCAAUACGAGCAUCUGGUCGAGAUGAUCGGCAAGAUCGGCAUCCCAGUUAUAUUCGGCUUGAGCAACAUCGUGUACUGGUCGUAUUACCUCUCCUGAAGGGCGGGGUUUAUCCGGAAAUGGAGUUUCAACUUCUGUCAGCUUCUCUGAAUGAAUUUGAAACAGGAAAAUCACAGGAAAAGAACUCUGAGGGUUUCUCCUUGUAGAGACAUCGGAAACAGAGAACGCAUAGUUCGACAGGAAGGAUCGUAACUUAAGAUAUUUUCGUAGAUAAUCAAACGCACGUUUGCGAGGAGAAGGAUCACAGUUGAAGUUUUACAGAUUGUCAAGUAUUGCCAAUCUGCCCACAUGUCACAGACAUGGGAUUUCUUCGAUGUAAUUUUGAUAACACGGAUGAUCAUUUCAAUACCUCUGGGAAUCACGUCUCUGACACAUGCUGAUGUAUAUGCCGACAUCAUUUUAUGCAUUUAUGAUGUACAUUUGGUAUUAAAUGGAUGCUCUAAUUCUGUCCUUUGUAUAUAUUGUCUAUUUGCUUAUCUUUAUCCAUGUGUAUAAUAAUUAAUAUUAAUAAAG